GAGCAAGUGUGGCAUAGUGGUUUGAGCUGUGGACUAUGACUCUGGAGACCAGGGUUUGAAUCACUGCUUGGCCA